rnacentral:misc_RNA from 1 species
UUUCCGUAGGUGAACCUGCGGAAGGAUCAUUAUUGAGUUUUUGGUUUGUUAGUGUUACUAGCGUAACCAUAAAAACUUCAUCCUAUGUUUACAUACUUUGUAUACUUUGGCAAGACGCUUUGACUUGUAGUUGGAGUUUGACACUAGUUGAGCAACGCCACAAGAAAAAGCCACUGACGUCAUUUACUUGACAGUGAGUGUGUUUGCUUGCCAAAGGUUUCAACUCUUUUAUUUGCAGUCUGAGUAAACAAAAAAUAAAUUAAAACUUUCAACAACGGAUCUCUUGGUUCUGGCAUCGAUGAAGAACGCAGC